rnacentral:pre_miRNA from 1 species
GUGCAUUGUAGUUGCAUUGCAUUUGUUCUGAAUAUGCAGUGCAUCUGCAAAGCAACA